ensembl:misc_RNA Metazoa_SRP Metazoan signal recognition particle RNA
GCUGGGUGUGGUGGUGGGUGCCUGUAAUCCCGGCUACUUGGGAAGCUGAGGCAGGAGAAUCACUUGAACCCAGGAGGUGGAGGUUGCAGUGAGCCAAGGUCACACCACUGCACUCCAGCCUGGGUGACAGAGUGAGACUCUGUCUCAA